rnacentral:rRNA from 1 species
AACGAACGCUGGCGGCAUGCCUAACACAUGCAAGUCGAACGAGACCUUCGGGUCUAGUGGCGCACGUGUGCGUAACGCGUGGGAACCUGCCCUUAGGUUCGGAAUAACUCCCCGAAAGGGGUGCUCAUACCGGAUAAUGUCUUCGGACCAAAGAGUUAUCGCCUUGGGAUGGGCCCGCGUUGGAUUCGCUAGUUGGUAGGGUAAAAGCCUAUCAAGGCGACGAUCCAUAGCUGGGCUGGGAGGAUGAUCAGCCACACUGGGACUGAGACACGGCCCAGACUCCUACGCGAGGCAGCAGUGGGGAAUAUUGGACAAGGGGCGAAAGUCUGAUCCAGCAAUGCCGCGUGAGUGAUGAAGGCCUUAGGGUUGUAAAGCUCUUUUACCCGGGAUGAUAAUGACAGUACCGGGAGAAUAAGCUCCGGCUAACUCCGUG